rnacentral:piRNA from 1 species
UAGGUUGAAGAAUGUAUGAUUGAAAUGCU